rnacentral:lncRNA from 1 species
CAUCUUUUGAAAGCAGUAGAUGAGAUGAGCAAAAUAACUGUUUAAGAGACUCAGCACUUCCAAAAAUCAUUUGUUCGAAUGAACUAUUUAGGUUAAAGGAAUAUAUAAUUGUAAAUUAAUUAUGCAAAAAGUUUACCUUAGCUAGCUCUUCCACUCGUACAGAUUUGUUCUUUUCAAGAAACUCAAUUUAGGCAACUCUAGCAAUGUUGGAUAUUGAACAAAUAACAAUGCAAGCAUUUUACCUUG